ACGGUGAACCAGACCGCCGCCGCGCGUCCGCCCUCAUAGUCGGAUACACGGAGGAAAGUCCGGGCUUCGCAGGACAUGAUGCCGGGUAAUUCCCGGGAGGGAAGCGGGGGAAACCGCGCUUUUCGACAGACAGCGCAACAGAAAGCAAACCGCCCGGCUGGCCGGGUAAGGGUGAAACGGCGGGGUAAGAGCCCGCCUCGGCGGCGGCAACGCUUCCGGAACGGCAAGCCUCAUCAGAAGCAAAGUCAAGCAGUGGUGCGGUUAGCUUUGCUAAUCGCAGAGGGAGUUUGAGCCUUUGGUUCAGACUCCCGUCCGGUUGUCCGCCGGUUAAACACGGGUAGACUGCAAUGGAAAUAUCCGGUAACGGAUAUUCAAGACAGAUGGCGGUUGCGCCAAAAACCUUCGGUUUUUGGCGACAGAACCCGGCUUAUGGUUCAUCGUUUUU
rnacentral:RNase_P_RNA from 1 species